UACGGAGGGAGCUAGCGUUGUUCGGAAUUACUGGGCGUAAAGCGCACGUAGGCGGCUUUGUAAGUUAGAGGUGAAAGCCCGGGGCUCAACCCUGGAAUUGCCUUUAAGACUGCAUCGCUUGAAUCCGGGAGAGGUGAGUGGAAUUCCGAGUGUAGAGGUGAAAUUCGUAGAUAUUCGGAAGAACACCAGUGGCGAAGGCGGCUCACUGGACCGGUAUUGACGCUGAGGUGCGAAAGCGUGGGGAGCAAACAGG
rnacentral:rRNA from 1 species